GACGAACGCUGGCGGCGUGCUUAACACAUGCAAGUCGAACGAUGAAGCCGGAGCUUGCUCUGGUGAAUUAGUGGCGAACGGGUGAGGAACACGUGAGUAACCUGCCCUUGACUCUGGGAUAACUGCGGGAAACUGUAGCUAAUACCGGAUACGACCCUCGGAGGCAUCUCCUGGGGGUGGAAAGAAUUUCGGUCAAGGAUGGACUCGCGGCCUCUCAGCUAGUGGGUGAGGUAAAGGCUCACCAAGGCGACGACGGGUAGCCGGCCGGCGAGGGUGACCGGCCACACUGGGGGNGAGACACGGCCCAGACUCCUACGGGAGNNNNNAGUGGGGAANNUUNNACAAUGGGCGCAAGCCUGAUGCAGCAACGCCGCGUGANGGAUGACGGCCUNCGGGUUGUAAACCUCUUNUAGCAGGGANGNAGNGAAAGUGACNGUACCUGCAGAANAAGCACCGGCUAACUACGUGCCAGCCGCCGCGGUAA
rnacentral:rRNA from 1 species